rnacentral:lncRNA from 1 species
UAGUAUAGUAAUUUAGUUAUUCAUAUUACCAUUCAUCUUGCUCGAGUAUAAUAAAUAUAAUAAGCAGUAAUAAUGCAUAAUACAGAUUCUCUCCCGUAAUAAUGCAUACAACUAACUGCGGUUUUAACUAAAUUUAUCUCAAUAACUAAUUUUCCAUAACCCCUAGAACUAACAGUGUCAUCACAUAAUUGAUUUCCACUAACUCAAUCUAACAUGGUUAACUAUGACAAUCCCUCUGAAUCCAUAUAUAAUCAAUCCUGAUUCCAAUCAUUGCUCCUCUUGAAUCAUCUUUCACUCAUCAUUAAAAUCACUUUGCAAUCUUUCUCUCAUUCACUUUCAGAAUCUCUCUCACAUCACCACUCACACACAAGACUAAGAGAAACAAUCUCACACGCGCACAAUUCAACAAGAAUUUAGAAGCAGCAGGAAGUAAAAGAGAAAAAGAAAAAGGAAGAAUUGAACGCAAGAAGGAGGGAGAAUUGAAGUUUAUAUGAGAGCUCGUCUUCGUCUUCAUCUUCAAUUACGUUGAAUUCGAUCUCCACCGAGACAGAACGUCGCCUCGAAGAUAGGUACUCCAUUCUCCAUUUCGCUUCGUCCUUGACAUCACCAUGUAGUUCAAGGCGUAGGGAAUCAAACCCCCCAAUAGAUUAGGCUUUGGUUCCAUUAAUUUAGGGUUUAAUUUCAGAAUUUAAGGAGUUAGGGUUCUUAUGAUUAUGACUCGGUUAGGAUGAUUUAGCAUGAAUUGGAAGAAAUUGACAACAGAUUCAGGUAUAGCUCACUGAAACAAAGACAUUGAUGUAGGAAGUGUUUUGUUUGGCCAUCUGCCGCCGCCAAAUGCGGUUUCCGGUGCGGCGAAGAAGGGUGCUCAGGCCAAGGUUUUCAGGUGAGGUAUUUUUAGUCUUAACGUGUUAUGAAGUUGAACUUAAACUCUGCUCUCUCUCAUUUGUGUUGCACUUGGGCUUCAUUCAACCCUAGGCCCACUGCAAUUCAUUUUGGCACCUAUUUUUAACAAUACACCCACCUUGCCAACAUGGAUCACGACAGCAAUGGGCCUCAGUGCCUAGCCCACUGCAAUUUGUUCUUUGCACCCAAUUCGGGUUAUAUACCCCUGUUGAGCAUGAAACACAAAAACUCGAGCCUGCUCAGCGCCCUAUCCAACCAAAACACUUCUCACACCUAUAGUUCAACUUCAUACCCCUCCUCAUUUUCUCAUUAUUUUUCCUUUUCUUCUUUCAAUAUUUUGUUUAUAUCUUAUGCUUUUUUUUGCUUGAUACAUUAUUAGCAUGUUUUAUGCUUUUAAAAAAUAAAAAGAUCAUUUCCUUUUGCUUGAAAAUAAAAUUGGUUUAGUAAUUAAAACUCAACUAGGUUUAAUUGUAUUUUGUAAUUACUUUGAAAUACUUUGAAAAUAAAAUGAUUAAUUAGGUUAAUUGAUUUUAGCUUCAUUAAUCCUAUGAAAUAUGGUUCAUAUUAGAUUCUAAUCCACCCUUUUGAUAAAAAAAAACCCUUUGACCAUGAUGAUUCCAUGUAGAUCUUUUUGUUUAUUUUGAUCAUGAUCAAUUUUAAACCUAGUUUCUAAUUUGCAUUCUUGUUGCAUUCAUUUCUUUCGCAUGUUGCAUGGUUGUGAAUAUUCUUGAGCUUAUCAUUGACACUUGAUUGACUUUUUGGCAUGAUGCCAUAGUAUGCUUGUAUGAAUCUCUUCCCACUUCAUGUAUGGUGUAUCAUUCAUUCCUCCAUUGUGGGUAAAAUGUCCCUCAUUCCCAUGAACAAAUAAUAGUGUAGGAUUUACAUUUCUUUACUGCUUUCUUUGCAUGUUAACUAACA